rnacentral:rRNA from 1 species
AAUGAACGUUGGCGGCGUGGAUUAGGCAUGCAAGUCGUGCGAGAAGUCUUUUGCUUGCAUUAGACGGAAAGCGGCGAAAGGGAGAGUAACGCGUGGAUACCUACCUCCAGGUUCGGGAUAGCUGCGGGAAACUGCGGGUAAUACCGAAUGACAUCUCCGGAUCAAAGGUGUGAUUCCGCCUGGAGACGGGUCCGCGUCCUACUAGCUUGUUGGUGGGGUAACGGCUCACCAAGGCGACGAUGGGUAUCAGGCGUGAGAGCGUGACCUGACUCACUGGGACUGAGACACUGCCCAGACACCUACGGGUGGCUGCAGUCGAGAAUCUUCGGCAAUGGGCGCAAGCCUGACCGAGCGACGCCGCGUGCGGGAUGAAGGCCCUCGGGUUGUAAACCGCUGUCAGUUGGGAGGAAAUCACAUGGGGUUCUCUCCAUGUGUUGACCUAUCUUCAGAGGAAGGACGGGCUAAGUUCGUGCCAGCCGCCGCGGUAACAC